GGGCACAUAGCGUAGGGGUUAUCGCGUUCGCUUUGCAUAUUUGCUUCAUAGAUGUACUGCGAAAGGUCCCCGGUUCAAUUCCGGGUGUGUCCA